GCCUCUGUGGAUCGUGGUGAUCGUCUCAACCAGUUACCAACUGACUUUCUCCGAUUUCAUGAGGAGAUGUGGGUUCGACUCCCACCAGAGGCA